UACGUAAGGUGCGAGCGUUAAUCGGAAUUACUGGGCGUAAAGCGUGCGCAGGCGGUUUUGUAAGUUUGUCGUGAAAUCCCCCGGGCUCAACCUGGGAAUGGGCGAUGAAGACUGCAAGGCUAGAAUCUGGCAGAGGGGGGGUAGAAUUCCACGUGUAGCAGUGAAAUGCGUAGAGAUGUGGAGGAACACCGAUGGCGAAGGGCAGCCCCC
rnacentral:rRNA from 1 species